UCCGUAGGGUGCAAGCGUUAAUCGGAAUUACUGGGCGUAAAGCGUGCGCAGGCGGUUGUGCCAGACAGAUGUGAAAUCCCCGGGCUCAACCUGGGAAUUGCAUUUGUGACUGCACGGCUAGAGUGUGUCAGAGGGGGGUAGAAUUCCACGUGUAGCAGUGAAAUGCGUAGAGAUGUGGAGGAAUACCGAUGGCGAAGGCAGCCCCCUGGGAUAACACUGACGCUCAUGCACGAAAGCGUGGGGAGCAAACAGG
rnacentral:rRNA from 1 species